rnacentral:rRNA from 1 species
CGCGCGGGUUCUAUUUUGUUGGUUUCUAGGACCGCCGUAAUGAUUAAUAGGGACAGUCGGGGGCAUCAGUAUUCAAUAGUCAGAGGUGAAAUUCUUGGAUCUAUUGAAGACUAACUACUGCGAAAGCAUUUGUCAAGGAUGUUUUCAUUAAUCAGGAACGAAAGUUAGGGGAUCGAAGACGAUCAGAUACCGUCGUAGUCUUAACCAUAAACUAUGCCGACUAGGGAUCGGACGAUGUUAUUUUUUGACUCGUUCGGCACCUUACGAGAAAUCAAAGUGCUUGGGCUCCAGGGGGAGUAUGGUCGCAAGGCUGAAACUUAAAGAAAUUGACGGAAGGGCACCACCAGGGGUGGAGCCUGCGGCUUAAUUUGACUCAACACGGGGAAACUC